UACGGGGGGAGCAAGCGUUGUUCGGAUUUACUGGGCGUAAAGGGCGGGUAGGCGGCCACCGCAAGUCAGUUGUGAAAUCUCCGGGCUUAACCCGGAAAGGUCAACUGAUACUGCGGGGCUAGAGUGCAGAAGGGGCAACUGGAAUUCUCGGUGUAGCGGUGAAAUGCGUAGAUAUCAGGAGGAACACCAGCGGCGAAGGCGGCGCUCUGGGCUGGAACUGACGCUGAGGAGCGAAAGCGUGGGGAGCGAACAGG
rnacentral:rRNA from 1 species